rnacentral:rRNA from 1 species
UACGUAGGGUGCAAGCGUUGUCCGGAAUUAUUGGGCGUAAAGAGCUCGUAGGCGGUUUGUCGCGUCUGCUGUGAAAUCCCGAGGCUCAACCUCGGGCCUGCAGUGGGUACGGGCAAACUAGAGUGUGGUAGGGGAGAUUGGAACUCCUGGUGUAGCGGUGGAAUGCGCAGAUAUCAGGAAGAACACCGAUGGCGAAGGCAGAUCUCUGGGCCAUUACUGACGCUGAGGAGCGAAAGCGUGGGGAGCGAAC